rnacentral:lncRNA from 10 species
GCAGGGAUGGAUGGACGGACAAAUGCAUGCAUAGAGGCAGGGAUGGAUGGACGGACAGAUGCAUGCACAGAGGCGGGGAUGGAUGGACAGAUGCAUGCACAGAGGUGGGGAUGGAUGGAUGGACAGAUGCAUACACAGAGGCAGGGAUGAAUGGACAGAUGCAUGCACAGAGGCAGGGAUGGAUGGAUGGACAGAUGCAUGCACAGAGGCAGGGAUGAAUGGACAGAUGCAUGCACAGAGGCAGGGAUGGAUGGAUGGACAGAUGCAUGCACAGAGGCAGGGAUGAAUGGACAGAUGCAUGCACAGAGGCAGGGAUGGAUGGACAGAUGCAUGCACAGAGGCGGGGAUGGAUGGAUGGACAGAUGCAUGCACAGAGGCAGGGAUGAAUGGACAGAUGCAUGCACAGAGGCAGGGAUGGAUGUACGGACAGAUGCAUGCACAGAGGCGGGGAUGGAUGGACAGAUGCAUGCACAGAGGCGGGGAUGGAUGGACGGACGGAUGCAUGGCCAGAGGCAGAGAUGGAUGGGUGGGUAGAUUGGACGGACAGAUGAUGGUAGGUUGUUCUUGUCCUGGAGGAGGUGAUCCAGGCUGAGUCCUCACACUGGGCAGAGCAAGAGGCAGGAGGUGAGCAUGGGGAGAUGCAGCUGUGUGCCCCAGUGCACCGGAAGUUACAGAUGACAUCGAUGUCCUGUCCUGAUGAAACAGGAAACACAUUUGUCAUUUGAGAGUUAGUGGCUGGGGCUGGGUGGAAGCUUGAGGGGCUGUGGGCCUGGAAUGGGGCUGAGGGGAGCGUGCAGGAGCUGCCUGCCAAAGCCUGGAGCAAGGAUGACAGGAGGUGCCGGGGCCCCUGUGGACUGCCCUCUGGGAAUCUUGUGGGGCUGGGUCUGCACAGCUGUGGUUGUGUAACUUCCCCCAGAUGCAUGGCGUGACAAGGGUGCAGGAAGGGGUGCAGGGCCCGGAAGCCCAGUAUGGCCAAGGAGAGACAAGGCAGGGAAGAAGGUGAGAGAUGAAAGAUAUCGCCCUGAUUGAAACACCAAACUACCCCCAGUUUCUCAGAAAAAGGACUCAGAGCAACAAGAGAACCUACAGUCGACAGGGAAAUUCGUCAGUGCGGAUGUGAUUUGAGCAAGACCAUUGAAGCCCCUGCUGAAAGGCAGGCUGGCAGAGCCAGGGUACCUGGCCAUCUACCUUGAAGUCUCUGUGCCUCAGUUUCCUCCUCUGUAAAAUGGGCAUAGGAGACAGGUUUGGUGAGAAGUGAACGAAAACGUGUUUGCUACCCCUCUUAGGUCUCACGUUUCAUGCUUAGACGCUCAGCGAGUGGCUUUAGGGACCGAGAGAAAUUUGCUUUUCAGUUCACCAGGUCGUUACCUAUGAACCUGCCCUGAACAGUGCUGACCUUAGUUAGAGAUGGCCAUGAAACUCAUCCGCAUGGGGUAACUGGGGCCUCCCUGUGGUGCUGCGGGGCUGUGUCUCUGUCUUGGUCUCUUCAG